UACGUAGGGGGCUAGCGUUGCUCGGAAUUACUGGGCGUAAAGCGCACGUAGGCGGAUCUUUAAGUCAGGGGUGAAAUCCUGGAGCUCAACUCCAGAACUGCCUUUGAUACUGAGGACCUUGAGUUCGGGAGAGGUGAGUGGAACUGCGAGUGUAGAGGUGAAAUUCGUAGAUAUUCGCAAGAACACCAGUGGCGAAGGCGGCUCACUGGCCCGAUACUGACGCUGAGGUGCGAAAGCGUGGGGAGCAAACAGG
rnacentral:rRNA from 1 species